rnacentral:tRNA from 1 species
GUCCCCGUAGUUCAGCUGGAUAGAACAAUCGCCUCCUAAGCGAUAGGUCAGGCGUUCGAAUCGCCUCGGGGACGCCA